rnacentral:rRNA from 1 species
AUUGAACGCUGGCGGCAGGCCUAACACAUGCAAGUCGAACGAGAGGCGGAAGGGUGAGUAAAGUAUGGGAAAAUGACCGAUGGAGAGGGAUAGCUACAGGAAACGGUAGAUAAUACAGCAUACUCGCGGCUAUGCGCAGAUGUGAUUAGCUGGUAGGUGGGGUAAAGGGUCACCUCGGCGACGAUCCCUCGCUGGUGGGAGAGGAUGACCAGCCACACUGGAACUGUGAUACGGUCCAGAAUCGUACGUGAGGGAGCAGUUGGGAAUAUUGCACAAUGGGCGCAAGCCUGAGUCAGCCAUGCCGCGUGUAUGAAGAAGGCCUUCGGGUUGUAAAGUACUUUCAGCGGGGAGGCGUUACCCACAGAAGAAGCACCGGCUAACUCCGUGCCAGCAGCCGCGGUAAUUC